AAUCAGCCUCCUCGAACCUUUACAUAUUAUUAAAAUAUAAAACUGAUAGGACCCAUCAUCUCUUUAACUUCAUCUUCAUCCCUAAGAAUCUACCACCACACCACCUGUUACCCACGAAGAGGAAAUAUGAUCAGAAAGAAAUUAAGGCAUGAUGAAUCCAUUGACUAUGAGACCACUAUGAAGAUAGAAGAGAAUAAAUGUAUAAGUGAACUUAGAUUUCUCUUCCCAGUUCCCAUCUCAUACUCUGCAUUUCUUUUUCCCAUCCACAUCUGAGUUUUUCUUACUUUCAAUGAAGUUUUCGUUCCUAAGUUGAAUGUAUUAAAUUUGCAUCAUGAAACUAGUUUAUAACAGCACCUUACCGAUUAAAUUUUUCACUUUUUUCACCAUAACCACACUUGGUGACAUGGUGUGGGUUGUUAUACAACAAAUGGUUCCACCCACGAAAGCUCCUUUGUUCGAUUUUUGUACAGGCUUUUGUUUAAUUUUGAGUAAUGUAUGAAUAAAGAAAAGGAGUUGUUAAUGGCGUCGAUUCCCGCAGGUGGUCACCGGAGUGGUGUGUAGACUAUGAUGUCGGUCGGAACUGUAAGUGAAAUUGGGCCCCUGUUUCUUGUUGAUAAGCAUCUACAUAAUUUAAUGAUAACACCUUAAAAGUAUGUGUAUGUGAAACAAUGGUUUCUUUAUAUGGAUACGCUCUGUGAAGAAGUUGAGGAGCAGGUAUGGGUUUUCAAGAACAUGAAGUGGAAUAAAUGGGUUGGUGGUCGGAAGGUGGUGCCCGGAGUUCUUGGCCGGACGGUGAAAGUUUCAGGAGGUUGAAGAUGGUAAUGGUUAUGGGUGUGUCACACAAAGAAGGUUGGAGGAGACGAGACUGAUUGGGGACUAUCCGGGAACGAAAUUGCAAAAGUUGGAGACUAUAGCUGUAAUUUUAGAAAGUCAGGGACUAAAGGUGAAAAAUUGACAAACCACAGGGACUAUCCGGACACUUUUCUCUUUAUGAGGUGUAAACGUUAUCCAUGGACCAUGGUCUGGGCUCAUGCCUCGGGUAGGCCCAUUAAGUGCAUCAUUUUAUAGUAAACCUAGAUGUAAUUUUUUUAACGAAGGAACGGUCUCGUUCUUAGUACAUACGGCCCACAUUUAGCUACGCGGCUAUUUUCAGCCAGGAAGAGGUAAUGUAUAUAAAUUUUCUCAAUUUCCAAUUCCCAAUUCAUUAUAUUCCACUAAACAAUCACUACCUUUAGAUUUAAAACCAUGUAUAUCUUCAUUGAAUUCUAUAUAAUAAGAAAUGAUGAAGUCUCUUAUGAA